rnacentral:rRNA from 1 species
UACGAAGGGGGCGAGUGUUGUUCGGAUUUACUGGGCGUAAAGGGCGCGCAGGCGGCUUUGUUUGUCAGGCGUGAAAGCCCCGGGCUUAACCUGGGAACUGCGUUUGAUACGGCAGGGCUAGAGUUCGGGAGAGGAGAGUGGAAUUCCCAGUGUAGAGGUGAAAUUCGUAGAUAUUGGGAAGAACACCGGUGGCGAAGGCGGCUCUCUGGACCGAUACUGACGCUGAGGCGCGAAAGCGUGGGGAGCAAACAGG